CUCAGGAUGAACGCUGGCGGCGUGCCUAAUACAUGCAAGUCGAGCGAACUGAUUAGAAGCUUGCUUCUAUGACGUUAGCGGCGGACGGGUGAGUAACACGUGGGCAACCUGCCUGUAAGACUGGGAUAACUUCGGGAAACCGAAGCUAAUACCGGAUAGGAUCUUCUCCUUCAUGGGAGAUGAUUGAAAGAUGGUUUCGGCUAUCACUUACAGAUGGGCCCGCGGUGCAUUAGCUAGUUGGUGAGGUAACGGCUCACCAAGGCAACGAUGCAUAGCCGACCUGAGAGGGUGAUCGGCCACACUGGGACUGAGACACGGCCCAGACUCCUACGGGAGGCAGCAGUAGGGAAUCUUCCGCAAUGGACGAAAGUCUGACGGAGCAACGCCGCGUGAGUGAUGAAGGCUUUCGGGUCGUAAAACUCUGUUGUUAGGGAAGAACAAGUACGAGAGUAACUGCUCGUACCUUGACGGUACCUAACCAGAAAGCCACGGCUAACUACGUGC
rnacentral:rRNA from 2 species